rnacentral:rRNA from 1 species
ACGGGGUGCAGCAGGCGCGAAACCUCCGCAAUACACGAAAGUGUGACGGGGUUACCCAAAGUGUUCAAUUUUGAACUGUGGUAGGUGAGUAAUGUUCCCUACUAGAAAGGAGAGGGCAAGGCUGGUGCCAGCCGCCGCGGUAAAACCAGCUCUUCAAGUGGUCGGGAUAAUUAUUGGGCUUAAAGUGUCCGUAGCCGGUUUAGUAAGUUCCUGGUAAAAUCGGGUAGCUUAACUAUCUAUAUGCUAGGAAUACUACUAUACUAGAGGGCGGGAGAGGUCUGAGGUACUGCAGGGGUAGGGGUGAAAUCUUAUAAUCCUUGUUGGACCACCAGUGGCGAAGGCGUCAGACUGGAACGCGCCUGACGGUGAGGGACGAAAGCCAGGGGAGCGAACCGGAUUAGAUAACCCGGGUAGUCCUGGCCGUAAACGAUGCAUACUAGGUGAUAGCACGGCCAUGAGCCGUGUCAGUGCCGUAGGGAAACCGUUAAGUGUGCCGCCUGGAAGUACGUCGCAAG